rnacentral:lncRNA from 1 species
CCGGACCAAAAAAAUCAGACCCAAACAAUUCACGGGCCAAAACUCUCCCACCCAGCACCUGGAAUCACCAAAACCACCAAACUUUACCCUCAACUCCUAUUUGACAUCCUAACAUUUUUAGCUCGCAGCCUAACUUCGACCAUUAGGAUCCCAUGGUUUUCAGAUUCAAUUUUUUUCAAAAUGACCCUUUUCCCACAAACACUAUCAGACAAGAUAAACUCCGCC